CGUAGCAAUACGUCAGCGGCAGACGGGUGAGUAACGCGUGGGAACAUACCUCUUGGUUCGGAACAACACAGGGAAACUUGUGCUAAUACCGGAUAAGCCCUUACGGGGAAAGAUUUAUCGCCGAGAGAUUGGCCCGCGUCUGAUUAGCUAGUUGGUAGGGUAAUGGCCUACCAAGGCGACGAUCAGUAGCUGGUCUGAGAGGAUGAUCAGCCACAUUGGGACUGAGACACGGCCCAAACUCCUACGGGAGGCAGCAGUGGGGAAUAUUGGACAAUGGGGGCAACCCUGAUCCAGCCAUGCCGCGUGAGUGAUGAAGGCCCUAGGGUUGUAAAGCUCUUUUGUGCGGGAAGAUAAUGACGGUACCGCAAGAAUAAGCCCCGGCUAACUUCGUGCCAGCAGC
rnacentral:rRNA from 1 species